GUCUUUUUUAAAAAGAGAUUUUUAUCACCUGAAUAAUCCUGAUUAUAAUUGCUGUACCUAUACAUCUUUGUGUUAGGGAAAGAAACUAAAAAUAUUGUAUUCAUAGAAAAAUAUGUUCAGUAAAUUAGUGAUAGGUAAAUAUCACUAAUUUUAUAUAUCCUUUAUAUGUACCUUUGUAACCCAAGGGUAAUUUUUAAAGGAACAGCACUAAUGUGAAUAUAUAAUUUGUUAACUUGUUAAGAGAUAACCUAUCACAUUAUCCUAUAUCAACCAAUACCAGUACCAGUUUGUGUUGUGUAGCAGGUGAAGACGUCUUG